UACGAAGGGGGCUAGCGUUGCUCGGAAUCACUGGGCGUAAAGCGCACGUAGGCGGAUUGUUAAGUCAGGGGUGAAAUCCCGGAGCUCAACUCCGGAACUGCCUUUGAAACUGCGGUGCUAGAAUCCUGGAGAGGCGAGUGGAAUUCCGAGUGUAGAGGUGAAAUUCGUAGAUAUUCGGAAGAACACCAGUGGCGAAGGCGACUCGCUGGACAGGUAUUGACGCUGAGGUGCGAAAGCGUGGGGAGCAAACAGG
rnacentral:rRNA from 1 species